rnacentral:lncRNA from 1 species
CAUCAAUUUUAAUUCUCUGGGUGGUUAGAAAUAGGAUUUUAGUUAUUUAGUUAUUUUCCUAACCUUAUUGCAUGUCAUAUAUUUUGAUGGAGUCCAUGUAUGUCUGUGAAUGUAUGAAAGAGAAAGUGUUUAUGUGUGAGAGUUUUUCAUGUAUUAGGUGCCCUGUAAUUGUACUGAAAUGCUUUUGUCGAUAAGCAGAGCUUCAAAACUCAGUGUGGUUCUUGGACCAGGAGCACUGGCUUCACAAAGGAUUUGUUAGAGAUGUGGCAUUUUGGUAUCCAACCCAAAAGUACUGAAUGAGAAUCUGUGUUUUAACCUGAUCCUCUAGUAAUUUGUGUGCACAUUAUCGAGAAGCACUGCUGUAGAGCACUGUCCCUGCUACUGUAUAAUAGGUUAUAGUCAUUGUUUUCAUCACUUUCUCUUUCAUUUUGAACAACAUCAUAAUAUACUGACCUGCCUAUGUUUCCUCUAGACUAUGAUGCCUAAAUUCUCAGCAGUCCGUUCAUUCCUAGUCUAAGUUAUUUUCAUUAUCACUAUGAAAUUAUAAAUACAAAUAGUAUUUUUCUUGGGCACUUCCCUUAUAACAUGGGGUUUCAGAUUUUGAAUACCCUUUGUUAAGAUCACAAUAUAUUUUGGUUAAUUCAAUCUCUAGUUACAUGUUGCCUCCUGAUCUUUUGGAUUCAAACUAUACUUUUUAAACUAAUUUGACUCUGCGUAUCCUAGGGCAGGCUAUUUAUCUGUAUGUGUCUAGCCUUUUUAGCUAAUUCCACUAAAAAAUUAUUCACCUCAGACAAGAAACAAGUUAAUUAUUCUACUGAUAUAGUUUGCUAUUUCUAUUUUAACAUUCUAGUUCCUGGGAUAUGGUGGGGAAGGAAGCUUUGGGAUUAAACCCCUUUUCUACUCCUUUCAAUCUAAAUAGCCUUUGGCAAGUUUCUUAAAUUCUUAGUGCUGUGUCUUCAAAAUUGGUAUGGGGAUAGAUCUUGUUUUGAGGGGGAAAUGAACUCUGUAGAGCACCUAAAAGAGAACUUUGCACACAGUUGGUUCUCAAAUACAGCAGUGCCUUUUUCCUUUCCCCACACAGUUGCAGAAAAAUAAAUAAGAUGUCUAAGUUUCUCACAUUGCUGGCUCAUCCUAAACUACUGCCUCCUUGGCAGACAAAGAUUUUGAAGCUUCAGCUCUUUCCUGAUUGCCAUGUCUAGACUCUACAUUGCUGUUCAUGACCUGGAGACUCCUUUACACACUGAGAUUUUUCCCCAGCUUUCUUGAAUUCUGAAAGGUGGCAGUUAUAAGAGGCAUGAAAGAUCCUUUUGCUCAGACACUUAAUGAACAUAAGGAACUAUGACCAAGAGCAGUCUGCUUAAGAAGGUAAUGAGAAACUUAUCCAUAUUUGCAUUUCCUUUCUGGCUGUAUUUCUCCAGUCUCUAUAAGGUUCUAGCAUGUGAAGAAUUUCUGUCGGAUGGCAGGAUGAAUGUUCUUUAACUUUUUUUUUUUUUAGGGCUUCACCUGUGGCAUAUGGAGGUUCCCAAGCUAAGGGUCGAAAUGGAGCUGUAGCCACCAGCCUGUGCCAUAGCCACCAGCCUAUGCCAUAGCACAGCAACUUGGGAUCUGAGCUUCGUCUGCAACCUACACCAAAGCUGACAGCAACGCCAGAUCCUUAACCCACUGAGAGAGGCCGGGGAUUGAUCCUGUGUCCUCAUGAUUACUAGUCAGAUUUGUUUCUGCUGAACCACAGUGGGAACUCUCCUCCUUGAACUUAUUGAUCAAAGAACAAUAGACCUUGAGAAUGAUUUGAGAUUUGUAUGCCAGUGACUUUAUUCAUCUGUUUUAUCAUUACAAAUUUUAAUAAUCACUUAGUAAACAAUGUUUUAAAUGUCAUGAGGAUGAUAAAAUGUCAAAUCAGGUUCAUCUUUUCAUGGAGCUUAAAUUCAUGUGAGGAAAAAAUAACAAAUUAAAAGACAAAAGUCCUAACUUCAGAAAUGUUAAGUCGUAAGGAAAAUACCAUAAGGUAAUGUGGUAGAUUUUAUACAAAAAUUCUCCUAAGUCUCUAUCUCUCCCUAUAUCAAUGCAUUUUGCAAUAUGACUUUGUAGUUCCUCCCAGAUAUGGUCUUUUUGGGGGUUCCCGUCAUGGUGAAGUGGAAAUGAAUCUGACUAGGAACCAUGAGGUUGCGGGUUUGAUCCUUGGCCUUGCUCAGAGGGUAAAGGAUCCAGUGUUGCCGUGAACUGUGGUGUAGGUCAUAGACACGGCUCAGAUCCUGUGUUACUGUGGCUGUGGCUUGCAGCCGUAGCUCUGAUUAGAAUCCUAGCCUGGGAACCUCUAUAUGCCACGCAUGCAGCCCUAAAAAGACAAAAAAAAAAAAAAAAAAAAAAGAGAGAGAGAGUAUGGUCUUUUUGUCACCUUUCAACUGGUUGGCUUUGUGACUUGGUUUGGCAAGAGAUUAUGACAGAGAUGAUGGUAUAUCAGUUCUAUGAAUGGGCCUCAGAACCUCUUCCACUAGCUCUUUUGAGCAAGCUUGGACCUACCAGGUGGAUAAUAAGUAUAUGGCCCAGCAGCAUUAACCCAUGCAUCUGCUAGCUAACCAAUAGAUAUGUGAAUGAAAUCAUCCUAAAAUAGUCAAUCCUCCAGCCAACAUACCAGCUCCUGCAGGAAAGAACCUAGUCAAGAACAAAUGAAUCUGAAUGGUCUCGAUGAAUAGAAUUACUUAUUCUCCAAAUCCAUAGAAUUAUCCAUAGACAUGUGGGAAAUGACAAAUAUUGCUGGGUUUUUUUGUUUUGUUUAGUUUUUUGCCUUCUAAAUUUUUAUCACACAUCAAUAGAUAAUUGAUACAGAUGUAAAUGACUGAGAGAGCAUGGAUGUUAGAUACAUAAACCAAAGAAGGGAUGACAUUUAAACUGGGAAAAAUGACCAAGAAAAAAAAAGUGUUAGCCGUGAAGACACUUGGGGGCUGUCCAGGCAGAAGCUAUAGAAAGCACGAACACACCAUUAGAGGUGGUAUGUCAAAGGAAAGGGGUAGGCCAGCAUGGCUUUAUAAACAUAAACAAGGAGAAAAUUAAUAAAAUAUGUCACUGGUGAGAUAAGCAGAUAUCUUAUCCUAUGAGUUACUUUGGCUUUUUUGUGAGGGGUUGGACUAGUUAGGGUUUAAAGGAUAUAAAUUAAAGAGGAUUCACAAUAUUCAAAACCAAAUCAUUUUCUUGGAGUUAAUGACAGCUACUUGUGAAUCUGAUUCAGAACUUUCAAAUCUAUCAAUAAGAUGGCCAGAAGAUUCCUUUGCAGCAUUACAGAGGCAUUCAACUUCAAUAGCACAUUUAAUUCUAAAGAUAAAAGUCUCCAUAGGCUUAUAAUUUAUUUUGAUCAGAAAGACAGCAGUUUCCAGAGGCAUGCUGUGCACUGCUCCUUUUCCCUGACGUAAAGUUUGGCAUCAUCAAAAUGAUCUCGGUGAUGUGAUUAUGGGCGGUGAGGCAGUUGUCGUGGGAUGUAUCAGGCAGUCCCCACUGAGAGCUAUGCAAUCCUUUUUCAGGAGGUUGCUUCUUAUUCAGCACUGUGUCUACACUCAGCUACCUAGAUAUUAAUCCUUGGCAAUUAGAAAAGAAUAAUUAAUGCUUUCCAAAUUUGUCAUAUGACCUGAAAUCAUAUAGCUAGCCUGGCUGAAAGGCUGUAUUUAACCAAUGUAUUUCCAUAGGGAAGCUCUGCAGAGGCUCAGCUGAGGUGUCUGAACGAAACAUCAACGUGGAGUGACUGCAAAGUGAUACAAAUGCCUUAUGAUAAUGGGUUGCCUUGUUUUAUGGUCACAGGACAAAUGCAGAGAUGAAAUGAACUGAUGAACUAUGAAAAUUAAAACCCCAUCUUCUAAGCACCAUUUGUAUAGCUUGAGUGAAGCUUUCUGGUCAGCAGUUCUACAAAUACUCAUUAGAUUUCUACUAGAGCCAGGCACCAGAGGAAAUAAAAAUUUAAAAAGUUCUGUCUCUUUAAAAUCUAGUUGAGGAGAAGCAUGGUAACAGGUAAUUUUUUAAAAAAUGUACUGAGUUUCUGCUGUGGCUCAACAAGUUAAGAACCCAACUAGUAUCUAUGAGAAUGUGCACUCGAUCCCUGGCCUCACUCAGUGGGUUAAGGAUUUUGUGUUGUCGUGAGCUGUGGUAUAGGGAGAAUACCCAACUGGUAUCCCAUGUUGCCAUGGCUGUGGCAUAGGCAGACAGUUGUAGCUCUGAUUUGACCCUUAGACUUGGAAUUUCCAUAUGUCACAGGUGUGGCCCUAAAAAAAUUAAAUUAAAUUAAAAUUUAAAAAAAUAAAAAUAAAUAAAAAUUUAAAACAAUUUUAAAAUGUGCUAUGUAUACUCAUAGAAUUAUAGAUGCAGGUUGCUACCAGUCUAGGAAAAAAUAUUAUUCAUUAGUCCCAGCUUUAAGACACAACAAAAUACAGGUCAAUUUGAAAAAAUUAUCACAUAAUAUUUCUGAAUUUUUUUAGUGUAAUAAGAAUACUGGAUAUACUUUGUAGGUUCAGCAAGAGACUAUCAACCCUGCUACCAGUUUUUAAGAUAAAGUGUUUCCUCCUUAAUCAGCAAUACAGAAAAUCUGUUCUUUGGAUACUAGAAAGAGUUUAAUCUCCAAUUAUGUAUUCUUCAGGCCUUAUCAAAGGCACAGCUGAGAAAAAUGAUAAUUAAGGUAGUUUAAGGGACAUGAGAUAUGUGCUCUAAAAUAAGUGGCCAAAAUUCUUUGACUUAUUAUAUAAUUGGCUUCUACAAGAUAUGAUUCAUUACUAUCAUGCCUCUGAAUAAUAAUCACCAUAUUUCUUUGGGAAAGUAUGGAUCUCAUGAAUAUUUCAGAAAUUGAAUUAUUAAGCAUUAACAAAUAAGUUGUCAACAGCUGAACCAUGAAAUGGUUGGAAAAAUGUAGUUUUCAUUUCUUAAAACUUAAUUUUUGUCAUAUAUUUCCAAGUGAAUAUAUUUAGUAACUAUCUAGAAGAUCCUUUCUAGUAAAACUGAUU